AUUGAACGCUGGCGGCGUGCUUAACACAUGCAAGUCGAUCGGUAACAGGUGUAGCAAUACAUGCUGACGAGAGGCGGACGGGUGAGUAAUGCUUGGGAAUCUGCCUAUUAGUGGGGGACAACCCGGGGAAACUCGGGCUAAUACCGCAUACGCUCUACGGAGGAAAGCCGGGGACCGCAAGGCCUGGCGCUAAUAGAUGAGCCCAAGUCGGAUUAGCUAGUUGGUAGGGUAACGGCCUACCAAGGCGACAAAUCCGUAGCUGGUCUGAGAGGACGACCAGCCACACCGGAACUGAGACACGGUCCGGACUCCUACGGGAGGCAGCAGUGGGGAAUAUUGGACAAUGGGGGCAACCCUGAAUCCAGCGACGCCGCGUGGGUGAAGAAGGCCUGCGGGUUGU
rnacentral:rRNA from 1 species